rnacentral:rRNA from 1 species
CUCCUACGGGAGGCAGCAGUCGGGAAUUUUGGGCAAUGGGCGAAAGCCUGGCCCAGCAACGCCGCGUGAAGGAUGAAGUAUUUCGGUAUGUAAACUUCGAAAGAAUGGGAAGAAUAAAUGACGGUACCAUUUAUAAGGUCCGGCUAACUACGUGCCAGCAGCCGCGGUAAUACGUAGGGACCAAGCGUUGUUCGGAUUUACUGGGCGUAAAGGGCGCGUAGGCGGUCCUGCAAGUCACUUGUGAAAUCUCCGGGCUUAACUCGGAACGGCCAAGUGAAACUGCAAGACUAGAGUGCAGAAGGGGCAAUCGGAAUUCUUGGUGUAGCGGUGAAAUGCGUAGAUAUCAAGAGGAACACCUGAGGUGAAGACGGGUUGCUGGGCUGACACUGACGCUGAGGCGCGAAAGCCAGGGGAGCAAACGGGAUUAGAUACCCCGGUAGUCCUGGCCCUAAACGAUGAAUACUUGGUGUCUGGAGUUUUUAGUGCUCCGGGUGCCGUCGCUAACGUUUUUAGU